rnacentral:rRNA from 1 species
CAGUUCAGAUUGCAGGCUGCAACCCGCCUGCAUGAAGUCGGAAUUGCUAGUAAUCGCGGAUCAGCAUGCCGCGGUGAAUACGUUCCCGGGCCUUGUACACACCGCCCGUCACACCAUGAGAGCCGGGAACACCCGAAGUCCGUAGUCUAACCGCAAGGAGGACGCGGCCGAAGGUGGGUUUGGUAAUUGGGGUGAAGUCGUAACAAGGUACC